rnacentral:rRNA from 1 species
UACGUAGGGGGCAAGCGUUGUCCGGAUUUAUUGGGCGUAAAGAGCGUGUAGGCGGUUUGGUAGGUCCGUUGUGAAAACUCGAGGCUCAACCUCGAGACGCCGAUGGAAACCAUCAGACUAGAGUCCGGAAGAGGAGAGUGGAAUUCCUGGUGUAGCGGUGAAAUGCGUAGAUAUCAGGAGGAACACCGGUGGUGUAAACGGCUUUCUGGACCGUAACUGACGCUGAUGCACGAAAGCGUGGGUAGCAAACAGG